rnacentral:lncRNA from 1 species
GUUCGUUGUCCAGAGGUUAUUAAUUUGGUUCCAGACUUCAUCAAUUUUGUUGUAUAAUAGACGAACGGGUCGGGUCGUAACAAGAAUAUAUUAAAACUGCCACUUACGCGUCCUUAUUCACCUAUUUCUUUGGAUCACUAGAAACACCGACACUAACAGUAUUAGAAGUGACACGGACCACUAUAUCAUAGGGAAUUCAAUACACAUCCUUUGUGAAACUAUUAUUUCUAUUGUUAUAAGUUUAUCAUUGCCAAAGUCAUUAUUUAAC